UUUUGCUUAUUUAUUUAUUUAUAUCAAUAUGGACUUAUUUAUUCUUUGAGUUGUAACUCAAUACUUACUUUCUUGCCCCAAUUUUUCCACUUUGGGCCACUGGGAACUCUUUCAGUUGGUUUUUAACAUUCCUUUGACAUUCCCUCCUCAUGUUUGUUUUUUGUUUAUUGGUUUGUUUGUUCUAGCACUUACUUACUUUCUGACACAAGAUAUUCUAGGUUGAUCAAGUAUAUUUCCUGCCCCCAUGAAAUUUGUCCAAAUAGCCCUGAUUCCUUCAAUUGGAGGACAGUAUUAGAAACCAAAAUCGUGGCACUUUGUGUGCUGGUUUCUACUGGAGUAUAUUGCUUGUAGGUUUUCUCAGAUGACAGAGAAAGGAAAUAUAUGUGUAUACACUUAGCCAUAUAUAUAUGUGUGUGUGAGUGUAUAUAUGAUACAUUUUACGUGAACUUGUCCAUAUCCAUAUUAACCUAACCAUGAGCUCAUACUGAAGUCUCCAAUUUGAAUCAAUUUCUACAUGGAUUAUUCUAGCCUUCUUCUUUUUCUUAUCUGUAACUGCCCAGUCCAAGAGUGAGACAAUUGGUUCCCACCACCCACCAAUAACUGACUUACCUGUUCAAUCCCAUGUAUAGGGGAUUUAGAGUUAUUAACACAGGGAAAUAAUACUGUUAACUAGAGUACAGUACUAAAGUACAGGACUUUUUGCCUUUAGUCUUACAGAUUCAUUUCUGAAGUUACUUAGGUCAGUACCUUCCCCCUCUCUACCACUUCCCUAAGGUGGAGGUUGCUUCAUACAUUUGUAACACAGUUAGAUUCUUUAUCACAUUCUGCAUCCAUCCUGGGAUUCUCUAACCUCCUAAAUUAUUUUUUUUAAGUUAUGUACAUUAAGUUUACUUUGUGCUAUAAAGUUCUAUUUGUUUUGAUAAAUGCAUAAAUUUAUUUAUCUACUACCACCAUGUCUUACAGAAUAGUUUUGCUGUGCUGAAAAAUGCCUAUGCUUCCUUCACUCAUUUAGUUAGCUUCUGACCCCAACUCCUGGCAAUCACUGACCUGUACACUCCCUACAGUUUUUCCCUUUCCAAAAGGUCAUAUAAAUAAAAUCAUACAGGUGUAACCUAUUCAGACUAGCUUCUUUAACUUAGCAAUGUAUAUCGUAUUCAUCCAUAUAUUUGUGUGACUUGAUAGUCCAUUUGUUUUUGUUCACUAAGUAGUAUGGCAUUAUAUGGAAUUUCUACAGUUUUCUAUUAACUUAUUGAACGGCAUCUUGGUUGUUUCCAGUUUGGGGUGAUUAUUAUUAACCUUCUAUAAACUUCUUGCAUGAGUAUUUUGUGUGUUUAUAAACUUUAAAAUCAGGUAGGUACAUACCUAGGAGUCCAAUUGCUGGAUUAGAUGAUUAAACAGUUUAGCUUUGUAAACAUUGCCAAACUGUCUUCCAAAUUGGCUGUGUCAAGCAAUGAAUAAACUGUCUCGUUUUCUGCUUCUUCAAGAACAACUGUCAUUGUUUUUACUAUGUUUGUUUUUCUGGAUCUUAGCCAUUCCGAUAUGUAUAACGGUAUCUCAUUAUUGUUUUAAUCACGAGUCUAUUUUAAUAUGAUUGCAUAUCCCUAUGAAAUCUAUCAAACUUUCAUUGUCCUGAAUAGUUAUUUUUAAACAUAGGGCUGUGUAAGAGUUCUAUAUGUCCUAGUUAAACACACCCAAUAUAAUCUAAGUUACAAAAAUUAUUGUUUUAAUCACGAGUCUAUUUUAAUAUGAUUGCAUAUCCCUAUGAAAUCUAUCAAACUUUCAUUGUCCUGAAUAGUUAGUUUUUAAACAUAGGGCUAUGUAAGAGUUCUAUAUCUCCUAGUUAAACACACCCAAGAUAAUCCAACAGUUACAAAAAUGAAGAAACAACCACAGAAUACAGACUGAGUCUUCUCUGUUUCUUCAAUCAGUUUUGUUGGGUCAAACAGCAGAUAAAACAUAAAAUGUGCUUAUGAUCUAUGGCUUAAUUAUGCACACUUUCUAUAGUAGUAAUCAAAUUACUGUGCAAAAUAGAUCCUGUAAUGUAAUACUCACAGACAAAUAAAGACAAUACCAGAGAGGACUAAAUAAUAACAGAGCAAAUAUUAAAAUAGAAAAGUAAAUGUUGAAUGUGUAAUAUUACCAAGUAACAAAAACAUAGUAAAGGGCGUACUUCCAGAAAAAAUUUGCUAAAGUAAGAGGAUGAAGUGAGAGAAAGGUUUUGAAAAUAAUUAUCCUUGUUAACUGAUCCUUUCAAGUAUCUAAUCAAUUUUAUUUUAAACAAAUCUAUAAGUAAACAGAUUCAAGUUUUUUAAAAAUAAUCUAUAUACAUGUAUAUAUGUUUCAUAUUAAGUGCAGAUGAUUAAAAAUCAAGUCCCAUGUAAAAAUAAGAAAUGUCCUUUGUUUUGACUUUUUUUAAGCUUUGCCUAUAACAUUUGAACAGUAACUUACCUCCAGACUCAACCUCAUUAUUCCCAUCUCCCAAUGGUUCACUGGAAAGAGCAGCACCUACAUUCUCUGAGGAACUGAAAAUCAUGGAUACAACCUCAGGCUGAGUAAUUUCAUUUUCCCACAACUAUGGUAUAACAAUCUCCUUUGAAUUGACUGUUUCUUUAGUGGUAUAGGUUGGACCAUUACAUGAGAACAAAACUUUGGAAUGAUAUUACCAUCUAGUACUCUUUCUCCAUCUAGCAUUGUCAGGUUAAUAAAUAAAAACCCUGGAAACCAGUUAAAUUUAAAUUUUAGAUAAAAUGAAAUAAAAUAUUGAUUGCAUGGAGCAUACUAGAACUAAAAUUUGUUUUUUAAUUGAAAUUUAGUCUUAACUGAGCAUCCUUUAUUUCAUCUUGAAAACUUACCUCCAUUCCCUUCUGUUGGCUUAUGAGUUCAAGAGGAGAAUUAUAUUGAGAAGAUAAAAAGAGACCAGAUCAACAGGGAAGAUGGUAAAACCUCACAGAAAGAACCUAAGAUAGGAUAAAAUAUUUAAAGACUAUUUCUUUUUUUAAGUAACCAUAAUCAUGGUAGACCAGGGUGUUCAUUUAACUUCUAAUGUCUUUGAAACAAUUUACUUACUGUUUUGUGUAAAGAUGCCCCUACCCAUAUGUUAUAAAUCCAAGUCAUAUGAAGGCUAACAUUGGUUUACAUUGCCAAUGAGCUGAGAUGGAUAUUCAUUUUAUUAACAUUUAUAGGAUAUUUUUCUAAGUACUUUAUUAUAUGUGAUUUUGCCGUGCUAACAGAGGCUUGUGUUGUUUUCUAUUUCUUUUGUUGAAAAACAUGAAUACUGAUAUAAAUUUAAAUGAACACCCAAGGAUAUAGUUAAUGAAGAUCUUUAUGUAUUUGUGUUAUUUUAUAAAAGAAAGGCUUUUUACCUGAAAGACACCCAGUGACAGACAGAAACAGAAUCAGUUUCCAAGAGGAAGCCAUUCUUGUUCACUAGGCUCGCCUUUGUCCCUGUGUAUUUACCAGCUCUGACGUUUCUUCAUUAAAGAAUGUCCU
rnacentral:lncRNA from 1 species